AAUGGAACAAUAAUGGUCACAAUUUUCCAGAAACAGAAAAGAAGUUCACAGAAGAUGAUGAUGGAGAGAUGGCCCUGUUCACCUCAGAGAAGCACAUUUACAAUGACGAGGCAAGACCAAGACACUGGGAAUGCUGGCGCUGCACGCCGUGGAGGUCCCUGUCCGUUCCCAAGAGGAGCAGAGGGAACCUGAGGGCACCGAGGAACAGGGAAUCGAACAACAAAAGUGCUCCUGACUGGGGGCACCCAGGGGGCUCAGUCGGGGAAGUGUCAGGCUCUCGAUUUCCGCUCAGGUCACAAUCUCAGGGGCAUGAGAUCAGGCCCGGGUCCGGCUCCGUGCUGGGCGGGAAGCCAGCUGGGGAUUCUCUCUCCCUCUCCCCGCCUGCCUGUGUGCGCACCUUCAAAUAGAUCUUGACUACUGGAUGUCACACACAAAGACAUUUGUCACAUAGCCGAAGGGGCACCCUGAAAGUAAAAACCCCUGCAAAGAGGACGCACCCUGCGCGCCAGCUUCCCUCCCUGGAAGGACCCGCCGGUGCUUCUGGGCCGGGAGACCGUGAAGAUGAGGGCCCAGCCGGGGCUGGAUCCGGCAAAGCCCGGGAACUUCCUGGGGGAAAGAACAGUAGCUGUUACAGCAUAAACAAAGGGAAGAAGAAAAGCCACAGACGGGUUACCAAGGAGGUGGGCGGGUGCGUCCAUGACUCGUCACCACCAGAAGUCAGCGAACCGGUCGGCGAUGUGGUUAGAACAACUCCCAGUGAAACAACAUCAUUUUCAGAUGGGAAAAAAAAAAAAAAAAAAAAGCGUAAGAGAAACCAGGAAGGAGCAGGUGUUUUCUCCAGCUCUUCUCGCCGUCCUAGAAGGUGACUCUCUCGAAGGGUGACUGUCCAGUUAAAUUGUAAAGCACCAAGCGAGCGUCUGCCGGGAGUCGCGGACCUGUCCGGCGGUGCUGGAACGGCAAGUCGGAAACUCUCAUGUAUUUUAUCUUCCUGAAUUUUUUAAUUUAUUGGACAGAGACACAGCGAGAGAGGGAACACAAGCAGGAGGAGCGGGAGACAGAGAAGACGGAGAAGCCGGUUUCCCGCCGAGCGGGGCUUGAUCCCGUGACUCCAGCCGAAGACUGAGCCACCCAGGCGCCCGUCACCCACCCUCUCUGUCUUCACCACCUGCCCUCCGCGAUUCUCUUUAGUUGAAUCAUCAGCGUCAUUGUUUGCUGUGCUCAGUGCAUAGUGGCCCCUGUUAGAACUGCCUCACGCGUGUUUUCACACGUAAUUCCUACCCAGGCCAAGGAGCUGGGGAGGAGCCUCCGUCCUGUUCUACCGAAAAGGACGCUGAGAGCCCAGGGUCAGGCUCCGAGGUGCCUGUGUGGAUAGAAAUGUAAAACAGGGGCGCCUGGGUGGCUCAGUGGGUUAAAGCCUCUGCCUUUAGCUCGAGUCAUG